GAUUUAACGGCCGCGGUACUCUGACCGUGCGAAGGUAGCACAAUCACUUGUUCUUUAAAUGAGGACUAGAAUCAAUGGCGUCACGAGGGUUCCACUGUCUCCUUUUUCUAAUCAGUGAAAUUGAUCUCCCCGUGAAGAAGCGGGGAUAAUAAUAUAAGACGAGAAGACCCCAUGGAGCUUCAAACUCAACGAAUAACUCUACAACUUACUAGAUAUCUUAAGAGACCUAUCCGUUAGUUUUGGGUUGGGGUGACCACGGAGAACAACCUAACCUCCGUAAUGAAAAGAAUAAAAUCAUAAUCUAAGAGCUACACCUCUAAGAAUUAACAAAUUAACAUACAAUGAUCCAAUUUUAUUGAUCAAUGAACCAAGUUACCCUGGGGAUAACAGCGCUAUCCACUUCUAGAGUCCAUAUCGCCAAGUGGGUUUACGACCUCGAUGUUGGAUCAGGGUGUCCGAGUGGUGCAGCC
rnacentral:rRNA from 1 species